rnacentral:tRNA from 1 species
GCCAUGACUCAAUACUAGAACAUCUGUUUGGCAUGCAGAAGGUCCCAGGUUCAAACCCUGGAAUCUCCA